GUUAGGGCUCACUUUGGCCACACACAUACUGCAAUGGAACAAUAUUGAGAAGAUUUGCACGGCCUCUGCACACAGAUGCCAUGUAAAUUUAUGAAAUGAUCUGUGUUUUU